UAGUCCCUUCGAGUCUUUUUCAUAGUUACGUUCCUGAAAACGUUUCCAUAGCGACCACGAAAAUAUUGGCGCCAAGAAAAAUUUAAUUACGGAACAAUAAUGGAUGCCAAUGAAUUUUUGUUAUACAUACGUUACUAUAUAUUAAAAUAAUCAUAUUCAUUUUGUUCAAACGUUAAUAAUUAAUUGUUAAAAUACGAUGUCUAAAGAGAACAGUUUCGAAGUGACGCGUAAUAUCGAUUAGAACGAUAAUAACAAUUGAAAGUCGUGAGAACUUAGCGUGAAGGAAUGUAAACAACAAUGAAAACGUUCGGAGCUUUGACCUACCUCAAUACGUUCAGUCUAUUUCGACACUUCGACGACAUUACCUGUUGACUCCAUAAGAGCGUCCGUUCAGCUAACUGACAAUCUGCCGCUAAGCGAGAUGUUGGUCUGUCACCACCUCCUUGUUGACAGAAAAGUAAUCUUGGUCCACCGUCGGAUGCUCUACGUCCUUGUGAGGCUCGCGAUAUUCUACCAGUUAUUGGAGAUGGACUUUUAGGUGGCGGUGGAGUGCAAGAAGGUA